rnacentral:tRNA from 1 species
GCCUGGGUGGCUCAGUCGGUUGGGCAUCUGAUUUUCGCUCAGGUUCAUGAUCUCGCAGUCCGUGGGUUCGAGCCCUGCGUCAGGCU